AUGGCUCAGAGGUCAAGAGCACUGGCUGGUCUCCAGAGGCCCUGGGUUCAAUCCCCAGU
rnacentral:tRNA from 1 species